rnacentral:lncRNA from 1 species
UAUCAUUAUUAUUAAAAUUUCAGAUUUGUUGAGAGCAGAAUUUUCUUUGAGUUUUCUCCAAGAUUUCUCUCUUGAGUUUUCUUUAGAAGUUGUUUUAACAAUCUUGUGAUUGUGGGAGCCAUCUUCAACCUUCUUCUUGCCAUUGAUAUUCUUUGGAGGGGAGAUUAGAGCCGUUUGAAGGGAGUUGUGAGAUCUUUCGAGAUUUCAAGGCUUCUUAGGACUUAUCUUUUAAUUUCUUACUGUCAAUUCUUUCUUUAUUUCUACUUGUGCUGAAUCAUUAUCUAAUCUAUUUUCUGUUCUUAUUGUGUUUUCAGCCUUUUUCUAUUUUAAGGAAUCAGCCCAAAAAUCCCCAAUUUCUAGGGUUUUUCCAUACUCUUUUUGGGUGAAAUUAGAUUGUCGAAAUUUGGGGAAAACUAUCUUGGUGUUCAAUUGGGC